UCAAUGGAGAGUUUGAUCCUGGCUCAGGACGAACGCUGGCGGCGUGCCUAAUACAUGCAAGUCGAGCGAGGAGCUUCGGCUCUUAGCGGCGAACGGGUGAGUAACACGUGGGCAACCUGCCCGUAAGACUGGGAUAACUUCGGGAAACCGGAGCUAAUACUGGAUAAUCUUGAUCUUC
rnacentral:rRNA from 1 species